rnacentral:rRNA from 1 species
UACGGAGGGGGCUAGCGUUGUUCGGAAUUACUGGGCGUAAAGCGCACGUAGGCGGCUUUGUAAGUUAGAGGUGAAAGCCUGGUGCUCAACACCAGAAUUGCCUUUAAGACUGCAUCGCUUGAACGUCGGAGAGGUGAGUGGAAUUCCGAGUGUAGAGGUGAAAUUCGUAGAUAUUCGGAAGAACACCAGUGGCGAAGGCGGCUCACUGGACGACUGUUGACGCUGAGGUGCGAAAGCGUGGGGAGCAAACGGGG